AACAAUUUUAGAGUCUAUUUAUCUUCUCAGGAUGAUCACCUUCACCAAAUCAUCCUGUCGUCUGCUUGCUGCAGGUUUCUAUAACGGAGAAGAUUGCAGGCCUGCAUACUUUAAAAUAAACAAAUAAGUAAAUUCCAUCUGUCUUUUUUGCUGAAAACACCCGUCACACAAGCCUUUGCAACAGAAGACUCUAGAUUUGGAAUAACACAAUGGCACCCAUGCAAAGAUGAAGAAACUAAAGCUCAGAGGGUCCCAAAGUCACACAGCAAGAAAAUCAUGCAGUCGGGACUUGAUGCUAACUCUCCUGGCCGUAAAGCCCCUGCUUCCCCACAGGGCCCGCUGCCUCUCACGUUGGCAGUUACGGACCACGUUACACGUGCCAAGCCUUUGUGUUGGUCUCGCGGUUAGAUAUACGUUCCCAUUUCUCCAAAACUUAGAGGGUAAAAAUACUCUGUCAACCAAGAAACUGAAAUAUCAUCUGCUGAACCAUGAAGGAGAAAGAGCAGCAAAUAAAAACUCUCGGAAGAUAAAGCCACCUCGCAAACAUGUCUAACCAGUGAGGGCCAGGCUUCUACGUGCUGAUGAAAUCGGGGACCAUACAAGAGGAAGCCCUUCUUUGUUCUAUUCUCCCUCCUUGGUCUGGAAGAGUGUCGAAGAGACACAGCAUAUUUCAAGCACAUCACUCUGAGCGCUAUCAAUAAGCAUCGGGGCUUGCUGAGACAUCUCUGCUGUUCCUGGAAUGUGGAGCCAUCCUGGCAUUUCCUUUCUAGUUUCUCUGCCCUUUUAUUGCCUGCUGAGUGCCAGGAACUGUCAAGCAGAGAAGAUGCCAUGUAGUCCUUGUCCUUGUCCUUACAGAGUACCGUGUCUGAUGGGGGAGGUAUUUUAGGAAACAUAUGCAGUAGCGUGUGGUGAGUAUAUCAGACGUGUAACAAAGAACGUCAAUGACACAAAGGAAGGAGUGAUCAACUGUGCCCGUGUGAGUCAAAGGAGGCUUUUUCUGGAGGUGCUUGAGUUGAGCUUUAAGGAAUCAAAGGACCACCAGGAGGUGGAGGAGUAUUCAAGACAGAGAAACAAUAUUGCCAAGACCCCAUGGCCGGAAAACCAGGGCACUGCUUUCCUCCAUGGCACCUGAGGCAUGAAGCAAGACAGUGGGGAAGGAGGCAGAGGAGGCCAGGGCUGAGCUGCUUCCCAAGGCUCCUAGGAAACACUUCUUGACUUGAUUUGAAAAAAUUCACUGAAGAACUGAAAAGAGGUUUGCUUGUUACUCCAGUAGACUUUCCAGAGAGGUUCCAUAUUGAAAAGGCUCAGGUAGGAACACAGACUGUUCAAUUAGAUGUGCUUGGGAGAAAGGCUAGUCUCAGCUGCUCUUGGAGCACAGGAAUAUGUGCAUCCUCAGCCAAGAGAGCAGGAAGAGCUGAAGGAACCAGAGAUGCCAUCAGCCUGGGCUAUGAACAGGACUCUCAGGAAAGACGCUGAGCCAUGAGUUUGUCGCUUCUGGCUACAGGUCAAUCCAAGCAGCUGACCACCAUCCAUUCACAUUCUGUCAUUCACUCAGCCAGUAUUUAUGGAGCGCCUACCACAUGCCAGGCCCUGUUUAAGUGCUGGGAAUACAACAGUGAACAGAGCAAUUUCCCUGCUGCAUGGACACUCAUUCUAGAGGAAAGAGACAAAACAACAUACAGAGAAGCAAGCCUAUCAGAGGGUGAGAGGAAGUAUCUGGUUCGGGAAAAAGCCUUCCUACUUUGAUUCAGCAGGCCAGUUUCCCACUUUUCUUCUUUUUUUAAAUCUCCUUUCCUCACUAUAUCCUGGCCACCCUCGUUCAUAGAAUGAGAAGGAAGAAAGAAACAGUGAAGGGAAGAAGGAGACAGGAGACAAAGGAGAAGCAACAGGAACCAAUGAUCGCUCCUUUGAAAUGUUUCUCACUUUCAACCAGGCAUGCCUCCACCCCAUUCCACCCCGCCACCCCCCUCCAAGCCAGGACACCUCACCCCUGGACUGCCACCCUCAUCCAAGGACCACCACCCUCAUCCAAGCCAGGACCCCUCACCCCUGGACCGCCACCCUCAUCCAAGCCAGGACCCCUCACCCCUGGACCGCCAUCCUCAUCCAAGCCAGGACCCCUCACCCCUGGACCGCCACCCUCAUCCAAGCCAGGACCCCUCACCCCUGGACCGCCACCCCCGUCCAAGCCAGGACACCUCACCCCUGGACCGCCACCCUCAUCCAAGCCAGGACACUUCACCCCUGGACCGUGGUACAACUACCUGGUGUGUCUCCUGCUUCCACUUCUGUGACGUCCUGCCCACAAUCCUUUUGCAGCACACUAGCCAAGGUAAUUCUUUAAACACAUGUCAGAUUAUGUCACCGCUCUUGUUUUAACCACCCCACCCAGUAGUUUCCCUUUCCCAUCUCCUCAGCGGGGUCCAGAACAGCAGGUCUCUGGGUGCCCUGAGACCACUUCAGGGGAUUCACGAGGUCAAAACCAUUUUCAUAAUAACACUAAGAUAGUAUCCCCCUUCUUCACACUUGUUUUCUCUUGAAUGUACCAAGUGAAUGCGGAAGAUCAAAGAAUCCCGCUGUCUCCCACUGUCAGGCAUUAAAGAGAUACACCAUUCCGCACUAGCCGGUCACAGCUCCCUACUUCCUAUCACAACAAAUUCAGGAUGUUUGGUACCAUCUGACACACUCUUGUCCAACUACACUUCCUCCUAGUCCUUGCACAUACCCCUUCCUCGGUUCAGGUCAGCAUCUUCAAUCUCCCCCAAACAGCUACGCUCGUCACCAUCUCUAUACUCGAGUCCCACGGCACUCUCUCCCAAGAUGGCUCUCCACUUACCCAAAAUGUGCCCACCUUUCAAAGCCCAACUCAUGCCAUCUCUUCUACUGGGCCACGCAGGAUCCUCCAAGCAUUACUGAUGUCCCUUGACUCUGUACUUUACACCCUGGCACAAGGAUUGGAAUUCAGUUUCAUCUCAUGCACUAACUCCAAUCAUAUAUUAGUGUUUGUCUGAAACGGUGUUGAGAAAGAUUCUGAGUCUCAAAAGGGAAAGGAACACCAUGAUUGGUCAGUGUCUGCCAGUGGGCACAAGUGGAAGGAGAAGGACUUAGUUAGCACUUACUGAUGGGUUCCUGGGCAUCGGUUCCAGAUAAUCUCUGUGUGGUAAUACAUCCCCCUGUUCCUAUCACGUAGUCUUUUCUUAGCAAAGAAACAUGGAGUGACUUGAACCCUGAUGGUAGGAAAAGUUCUGAUUAGCUCCUCCAGCCCCUUCCUAACUUCAAGUCAGAGCCCAGCGGAAUCCCCUGACCGGCUCCGUCCCUCCCUGUUUUCAGCUCUCUCCUCCCUGACCAACGGGGAAAUGGCUCCAGGUGCCAGGUGUUGGUUGUCUCGUUUUGCUUCACCCUGAAGGCUGCACUGCAGGAGUAUUGAUUCCAGCUCUAUCAACAAUUUUAUUUGCCCCUUUUUCCCUUAAUACAGAUGUCCAUUUUUGCCUACUCAUUAUCAAAAUCAUCUAAAUGGUAAACUUCCUAAGACUAGAGUGUGUCUCCACGGCAGCACUUGGUAGCCGGGAAAGAACCGGGGUCCAAGCAGGUGCUCAGUGGGGUUGAAUGAAAAAGAGGGGAAGCAGACGAUGACUCUGCAGGUUAGGGAGCACAUUGUCAUGACACAGCAGAGAGCAACGUGAUUCCGGGAUGUUCCAUCAUCCAUGAUUAAUUCCACGUGCCACCUUUAUGAACACUCCCCUCACCCCACUUUUCAUGAGACGCCUUCCAGAUUUCUCACAGCAACAGGCACUCUACCAUGGAGAUUUCAUUAGAGGUAGAAGCCAGAAAAAUAAAUAUUUAUCAUGGGACGAAAUAUCAGGAAAAGUUCUGUAUGCUAUCAGUGGACAGCUCAGAUGGAGCUGAAGCUCAAUGUCAACCUGAUUUUCUUUUCUUUUCCCCGGAACAAUCCAAUAGCCUGGUUUAACUCCCAUAAGUUGGCUUUGUGAUGCUGGGCACUCAGUCGUGCUCUCUGGAUCCCAGCUCCUUCCUCUGUCAAUGCAGGGAGUGGAGGGGAGAUGCAUUUAAGGUUUUCUCCGGCUUUAAAGUCCAUGAUCCAUCAUCUGAAUAGGUAUUUGAAGUAUUGAAUCUGAAAAAUGAAGUUAUUUUGAUUAAUAUUUAAUACAGAAAGUGCUCCGUGAUGAAGGACCUGCUUGGAUUUGGGGCACGUGGAGGGAGCACUUGCCUACCGUAGAGUGUGCACUUUCGUCGGCCGACCUUCCUGCACUUUCGGAAAACGGUUUACAAUGAGAGAACUGGGGACACUGGAUUUGAUCACAGUCCCAGCUGCCACUCACUGUCUUCUCCGCCAGUGUAGAGGAGCUUUUUAUGAUAUUACUGUCUUCUCAUUCCAGGUGAAAUUUAAAACGAGCCAAGUCAGUGCUGCCACUGCACUUGGAGAUUGUCUUUAUCAAAUGAUUCAACUUAAAUGUCCCUCCCCAGUCCUUCGUUUGUGUGUGUCAUUAUCUCCACUUUCUGCCUCUGCCUCCUUCACCACUUGUAAUCCAGCCAGCCCGCAUGACUGCCCUUCUCUAUCAAGUAGUUCUCCGUGUGACUGCCCCUCUGCGCACUCAGGACUCUGACCUCUCCCUGCUGGGGCAGGCUGC
ensembl:lncRNA